rnacentral:misc_RNA from 1 species
GAUGAAGAACGUAGCGAAAUGCGAUACGUAAUGUGAAUUGCAGAAUUCAGUGAAUCAUCGAAUCUUUGAACGCACAUUGCGCCUGCCAGCACUCUGGCAGGCAUGCCUGUUCGAGCGUCAUUUCAACCCAUCAAGCUUAGCGCUUGUGUUGGAGCCCUGCGGCCGCCGCAGCCUCCUAAAAUCAGUGGCGGGCUCGCUAUCACGCUGAGUGCAGUAGUAUUCUUCUCACUCCUGUGGUGUAGCGGGUAACCAGCCGUAAACCCCCCCAUCUAUAAAGGUUGACCUCGGAUCAGGUAGGAAUACCCGCUGAACUUAAGCAUAUCAAUAAGCGGAGGA